UCUGACUGAAUCCCUUCCUAUAUGUCCCUGUCAGAGGUCUACAACGUACCUCUGACUGAAUCCCUUCCUAUAUGUCCCUGUCAACAGAGGUCUACAACGUACCUCUGACUGAAUCCCUUCCUAUAUGUCCCUGUCAACAGAGGUCUACAACGUACCUCUGACUGAAUCCCUUCCUAUAUGUCCCUGUCAGAGGUCUACAACGUACCUCUGACUGAAUCCCUUCCUAUAUGUCCCUGUCAGAGGUCUACAACGUACCUCUGACUGAAUCCCUUCCUAUAUGUCCCUGUCAGAGGUCUACAACGUACCUCUGACUGAAUCCCUUCCUAUAUGUCCCUGUCAACAGAGGUCUACAACGUACCUCUGACUGAAUCCCUUCCUAUAUGUCCCUGUCAGAGGUCUACAACGUACAUCUGACUGAAUCCCUUCCUAUAUGUCCCUGUCAACAGAGGUCUACAACGUACCUCUGACUGAAUCCAGACCUAUAUGUCCCUGUCAACAGAGGUCUACAACGUACCUCUGACUGAAUCCCUUCCUAUAUGUCCCUGUCAACAGAGGUCUACAACGUACCUCUGACUGAAUCCCUUCCUAUAUGUCCCUGUCAGAGGUCUACAACGUACCUCUGACUGAAUCCCUUCCUAUAUGUCCCUGUCAACAGAGGUCUACAACGUACCUCUGACUGAAUCCCUUCCUAUAUGUCCCUGUCAACAGAGGUCUACAACGUACCUCUGACUGAAUCCCUUCCUAUAUGUCCCUGUCAGAGGUCUACAACGUACCUCUGACUGAAUCCCUUCCUAUAUGUCCCUGUCAGAGAGGUCUGAA